rnacentral:rRNA from 1 species
AUUGAACGCUGGCGGCAGGCCUAACACAUGCAAGUCGAGCGCGCGGCGGACGGGUGAGUAAUGUCUGGGAAAAUGCCUGAUGGGGGGGGAUAACUACUGGAAACGGUAGCUCAUACAGCAUACCAUCAGAUGUGCGCAGAUGGGAGUAGCUAGUGGGUGGGGUAAUGGCUCACAUAGGCGACGAUCCCUAGCUGGUCUGAGAGGAUGUCCAGCCACACGGGAACUGAGACACGGUCCAGACUCCUACGGGAGGCAGCAGUGGGGAAUAUUGCACAAGGGGCGCAAGCCUGAUGCAGCCAUGCCGCGUGUGUGAAGAAGGCCGUCGGGUUGUAAAGCACUUUCAGCGGGGAGGCGUUACCCGCAGAAGAAGCACCGGCUAACUCCGUGCCAGCAGCCGCGGUAAUUC